UGACGUAAACGUAUCGCGAGACUGAGUCAAGAAAUUACACGUAGAGGUCUAAUUUCGAACCGCUCUCGCGGUACAUUGACGUCAUCAUCAUGUCAGCGCCGCAUGAGGUCGAACACACCUAUUAUUUGCGGGCACGCGCCUCCGUCCUCGUGAGUUCAAAAACUGAAUUUAACCGAUGUUUACCUCAGACGACAGUUUUCGUUUCUGUGAUAAAUUCUGAGCUAAUUUUCUUGUUGUGUUUGAUCUUUUCCAUUGGCUGAAGAAUGCUGUGACAAAAAAGCAACCAGGACACCACAUCUGCAGUGACAGAGAGCAGGAUGGGGGAGGAAUCAGAAGGACCAGAAGAUAAUAUCAACUGGUGCCCCUGAGGAGAUUCACAUUGUUCUGUUUCUUUUGUUUAGUAAUAAGUGGUUUUAUGUGAUUUUGUAAAAUAAAAGAAAUUCAGUAUUCAAUCCACAUGUUUUGCACAUAAUUUUCUAUAUUUUACUUCCGUGUAUUUACAGCCAGGGUGCCUACUGUAUUUAUUGCCCACACGUUGCCCACAGUUAGCCCAAACUUUGCCCAGUGUGUCCACAUUAAAUCCACAAUUUGUCCACAGUAAGCCCACACUUUGCCCAGUGUACCCACAGUUAGCCCACACUUUGCCACAGCCCACACUUUGCUCAAUGUGCCCACAGUUAGCCCACACU